rnacentral:rRNA from 1 species
UGGGGAAUUUUGCGCAAUGGGGGAAACCCUGACGCAGCAACGCCGCGUGGAGGAUGAAGGUCUUUGGAUUGUAAACUCCUUUCGAUCGGGACGAUUAUGACGGUACCGGAAGAAGAAGCACCGGCUAACUCUGUG